CGCAGCCGCGGUAAUUCCAGCUCCAAUAGCGUAUAUUAAAGUUGUUGCAGUUAAAAGCUCGUAGUUGAAUUUCGGGAUCAAAGGAUCGGUCAUGCCUUGGUAUGUACUGGUUUUAUUGGUUCUCACCUUCUAAAGGACCAUAAUGUCAUUCAUUUGAUGUUAUGGGGAAUUAGGACUGUUACCUUGAAAAAUUAGAGUGUUUAAAGCAGGCUUACGCUUGAAUACAUUAGCAUGGAAUAAUGAAAUAGGACAUCAGAUUCUAUUUUGUUGGUUUCUAGGAUCGAUGUAAUGAUUAAUAGGGAUAGUUGGGGGCAUUAGUAUUCAAUUGUCAGAGGUGAAAUUCUUGGAUUUAUUGAAGACUAACUACUGCGAAAGCAUUUGCCAAGGAUGUUUUCAUUAAUCAAGAACGAAAGUUAGGGAUCGAAGACGAUCAGAUACCGUGUAGUCUUAACCAUAAACUAUGCCGACUAGGGAUCGGAUGAUGUUAAUUUUAUAUGACUCAUUC
rnacentral:misc_RNA from 1 species